AUGCUUGAAAUCUUGGAUACUGC
rnacentral:piRNA from 1 species